rnacentral:rRNA from 1 species
GACGAACGCUGGCGGCGUGCUUAACACAUGCAAGUCGAACGGAAAGGCCCUGCUUUUGUGGGGUGCUCGAGUGGCGAACGGGUGAGUAACACGUGAGUAACCUGCCCUUGACUUUGGGAUAACUUCAGGAAACUGGGGCUAAUACCGGAUAGGAGCUCCUGCUGCAUGGUGGGGGUUGGAAAGUUUCGGCGGUUGGGGAUGGACUCGCGGCUUAUCAGCUUGUUGGUGGGGUAGUGGCUUACCAAGGCUUUGACGGGUAGCCGGCCUGAGAGGGUGACCGGGCGCAAUGGGGGGUGAGAACGGGCCAAGACUCAGAGGGGGGGCGGGGGGGGGAAAUUUGGCACAGGGGGGGAAGGUCGAAGCGAGCGGCGCCGGGGGGGGGAUGGGGGCUUGGGGUUUAAAAACCGCUUACCCGGGAGAAGGAGGGGGAGGGACGGAAGGGGAUAAGAAAACCCCGACUAACCAGGGA